rnacentral:rRNA from 1 species
CUGGAAGAAUCUGGAGACAGGUGCUGCAUGGCCGUCGUCAGCUCGUGUCGUGAGAUGUUGGGUUAAGUCCCGCAACGAGCGCAACCCUUGUCCUUAGUUACCAGCACGUUAUGGUGGGCACUCUAAGGAGACUGCCGGUGACAACCGAGGAAGGUGGGGGAUGACGUCAAGUCAUCAUGGCCCUUACGGCCUGGGCUACACACGUGCUACAAUGGUCGGUACAAAGGGUUGCCAAGCCGCGAGGUGGAGCUAAUCCCAUAAAACCGAUCGUAGUCCGGAUCGCAGUCUGCAACUCGACUGCGUGAAGUCGGAAUCGCUAGUAAUCGUGAAUCAGAAUGUCACGGUGAAUACGUUCCCGGGCCUU